rnacentral:rRNA from 1 species
AGUGAACGCUGGCGGUAGGCCUAACACAUGCAAGUCGAACGGCAGCACAGUAAGAGCUUGCUCUUACGGGUGGCGAGUGGCGGACGGGUGAGGAAUACAUCGGAAUCUACUUUUUCGUGGGGGAUAACGUAGGGAAACUUACGCUAAUACCGCAUACGACCUACGGGUGAAAGCAGGGGAUCUUCGGACCUUGCGCGAUUGAAUGAGCCGAGGUCGGAUUAGCUAGUUGGCGGGGUAAAGGCCCACCAAGGCGACGAUCCGUAGCUGGUCUGAGAGGAUGAUCAGCCACACUGGAACUGAGACACGGUCCAGACUCCUACGGGAGGCAGCAGUGGGGAAUAUUGGACAAUGGGCGCAAGCCUGAUCCAGCCAUACCGCGUGGGUGAAGAAGGCCUUCGGGUUGUAAAGCCCUUUUGUUGGGAAAGAAAAGCAGCAGGUUAAUACCCCGCUGUGCUGACGGUACCCAAAGAAGAAGCACCGGCUAACUUCGUG